rnacentral:rRNA from 1 species
AAAUUGAAGAGUUUGAUCAUGGCUCAGAUUGAACGCUGGCGGCAGGCCUAACACAUGCAAGUCGAACGGUAACAGGAAGCAGCUUGCUGCUUCGCUGACGAGUGGCGGACGGGUGAGUAAUGUCUGGGAAACUGCCUGAUGGAGGGGGAUAACUACUGGAAACGGUAGCUAAUACCGCAUAAUGUCGCAAGACCAAAGAGGGGGACCUUCGGGCCUCUUGCCAUCGGAUGUGCCCAGAUGGGAUUAGCUUGUUGGUGGGGUAACGGCUCACCAAGGCGACGAUCCCUAGCUGGUCUGAGAGGAUGACCAGCCACACUGGAACUGAGACACGGUCCAGACUCCUACGGGAGGCAGCAGUGGGGAAUAUUGCACAAUGGGCGCAAGCCUGAUGCAGCCAUGCCGCGUGUAUGAAGAAGGCCUUCGGGUUGUAAAGUACUUU